rnacentral:rRNA from 1 species
GAUGAACGCUGGCGGCGUGCCUAAUACAUGCAAGUCGAGCGAACAGAUGAGGAGCUUGGUCCUCUGACGUUAGCGGCGGACGGGUGAUUAACACGUGGAUAACCUACCUAUAAGACUGGGAUGAUUUCGGGAAACCGGAGCUACUAACGGAUAAUAUAUUGAACCGCAUGGUUCAAUAGUUAAAGACGGUUUUGCUGUGACUUAUAGAUGGAUCCGCGCCGCAUCAGCUAGUUGGUAAGGUAACGGCUUACCAAAGCAACGAUGGGUAGCCGACACGAGAGGGUGAACCCCCACAUGGGAACAGAGACAGAGUCCAGACACCUACAGGAAGACACAGUCGGGAAUCCUCCGGGAGGGGGGAGAGCCUAACGGAGCAACAUCGCGUGAAUCCUGAACCACUACUGAUCGGUAAACUAUGUAAUUCGGAAAGAAGAAAAGUGUAAGUACCUAUGCUCGUCUUGACGGUACCUAGACAAAAAGCCCCGGCUAACUACGUG